AUGAUGGAGUUCAAAAUUAUUACUGUGAAAAUUUUUAAGCAGUCUUCACUAUUUUCAGCUGCUCUACCAAAAUUUAACUGCUCUCCCAGUAAAAUGCUCAGGAAGAUGAACUCCAGAAGUGCAUCAAGCGGACACUUAUGGCGUGUCUUAACCGGCACACUACACGGAUCAAACGCAGUGCAAACCUCCAAUUUUUUGAGCCACAGUACAAUGAAACCAAAUGGUGAUCAACAUCUGCCAGCGACGUUCAUUAAGGCUGAAACAUUGGAUUUUCCCCGUCUACUGGGAGUAAGAGGUCCUGACAUAAUGCUGAUGGUAAAACUUGAGAACUAUGACAUAGCUGACACACCGAACAUAAAAUUUUUAGAGGACAAAACUGACAGUUCUACGUCCUAUCUUGUCUCAAUUGGCUGUCUAAUAAGAAAUGCCUUCAAAAACUUCAGCUUCUGGGAUCUAGCAAGUUUGGUAAGCAGAGCGAAAAAGUUUAAACUCGCGGAUUCACCUGCAGAGGCUACCUCUGUAACAACAAUUAGUGGCGAUGAAAUAGAUCCUUAUACAAUGCAGGAGACAGUCGAUCAAAUUAUCGAUCGCUCGAUGAGACCUGAAUACACACUGAAUUCUCCUGUGGUGCUAUUGAAAAAAACGUCGAGGGCCGACUGUCAUGACAAAGGAGGAAAACAGAGCGACACGGGAAAUGCACAGGAAUGUGAAGCAGGAGGUGCUUCGAAUUCUGAUAAAAACAAAACCCCCGAGAGAAAAGACGGCACAAAAUCGGACUCAGGCCACGAGUCGGCUGAGGAUCCAUCACCUUCAAAAUGUGAGCCCGGAUUCUGUCAGUUUCCAAACGAGAAAUUUACACUUAGAUAUCCGGACACCCAGCCACCUGCAAAUUGCUCGAACUGCGGAGCAUUUUCACCUGGUAAAAGCACGGCUUCAGGUGAGAGCUCAUGUUCAAGAGAGUCAUCUUACUCUUCACCCUCAUCAGGUUUCCAAUCUCCUGGCUCAGGUUCUCUAUCACCUGAGAGAAUCGCAUCAGGUUCAUCUUCAGGAGAAUGCCCUAACAGAUGCUCUCCAGGCACACCUGCAUCUUCUUACUCAGGGUCUCCGGGAUCAAGCUCAUCUUAUGAAAGUUGCCGUAGCUGCUUUACACCAGGUUCAUCAGCAGCAUCUGCUAGGUCUCGUUCGUCUGCUAGAAGUUCAAAUUCAAAUAGAUCGGAUGCUUCGUCAGUGAGAAGUGUAGAGGAAAUUCCUAACUUCCCUGAGGAGGGUGGCUGGGCCGCUUUGCCCGACGACAUCGAUGCAGGUUUAGAAGAAGAAAUGAGCGAGAGAAAUCGACCCAGAGAUGAUUAUUGGGACCGUUGGAGGCGUCCUGUGCAAUCUCAAUCUCGUAAUCCCCCUCCACAGGCGAGUUACUACCCCAGACUUUACUAUGAAGAAGUAACUUACGAGCCAUCUCCAGAACCAUCACCACCACGACAGAAAAGUCCCCCCUUCAGAGUAUACGAAGACCCCGAGGGUUAUGAGCCGGCUAGCUCUAUACACCAUUCUCGAACGUCCCGCGGCAUGCCUUCUCCUAUCUCUGUUGAAGGAUCUGCCAGAGUCAAUCCAAUGAGAAGUUAUAACUCUCCGCCUUUGCACGCUCCGGAUUCAAGCACUAGGGCUGUGAGAGUUCGCCGAAGGGUUGAGUACCUUCCACUUGACAACCCUCCACGGCGUACUUCGACUCCUACAACCGCGCCUCAAAAUCUACCUCCCGGCAGAGUGAGAAGAAAUCUUCUUCAUGACUUAUCCGACUCGGAAUCUCCUGUAACAAGUUCCUUGCAUCCCCCAUUCGAAAGUUCACCUGAACCAUUCAUACCGCGUACUAGAAGAAGAGGCAAAGUCUUAGUUUUUUCGGAUGACGAAGAGGCAGGCCCAUCGAGUAGGUCUCCCACACCUGGAACCACUAGCUGGCGACGACGUUCCCCACUUGUUUUCUCGGAGGAUGAAGAGGCAGGCCCAUCGUGUAGAUCUCCCACACCUGGAACCACUAGCUGGCGACGACGUUCCCCACUUGUUUUCUCGGAAGAUGAAGAGGCAGGUCCAUCAUGUAGAUCUCCAACACCUGGUUCUAGACCUAGGCUUGUUUUCUCUCCAGAACCUACAAGAACCCCUAGCCGGCAACGACGUUCCCCACUCGUUUUCUCAGAGGAUGAAGAUGAGGACGCAGGGCAGGUGAUGCUCGUCCGUGAGACUGUAACAACUUGCGAUGAAAAUAACACUUGCGUUGAGGAACAGCGAGAGACCACUGUUAGCAGACGAGAAUUCACCAAUAAUGGAUGUCAUCCGGUCGGAACACCAGUGGUAAAAACUGAAGUGGUGAAAACAAUCCCUGGCGAUGGUAAUGGCUGCAGUCCCUCCGGCUCGGGUAAUCACAAUUCACCACACACUCCUAACUCCGAUGGAAAAAAAAAAACUUCGAUAAUUGACCUGGCUGGUUUGCAAAGUGUUGACUUCUAUGUGAGCGAUAGAGAGCAUUUGCGAUCUUAUAAUUUUUGCCGCAGUUGCCUACCUUCAAUUUCGGAUGACUUCAUCUUGCAUCCGUUUAAAACAGUAUCAAGCAUCAGCAGAGCAACAGCUGGGAAGCUCAUCUGGGACCAAGCAUUAUUAGUUCUAAAAAAUUAUAUUUUCAACUGCCACGUUAGCCAUAAAAAGAAAUUGCACAGUUGUACUUUUGAUAAUUACACAGUUCCUCGGUUUACACUUCGUUUGAUUUGUUCUGUAGUGCAAGAAUUAAGUCUGCGUUCUGACGAGAGACAAAAAAUGCAGAGGCAAGUUGAAGAGCUGAAAAAUUCGUUUAUGGGAAACUAGGCAAGGUCUGAACGAGGAGAAAAUGUCACGAUUCCUCUUCAAAAUCUCACGUAGAAAACGAAUCACACAACUGUAACCUCGGAAAUUAACUCCUGAACAAGAUGUAAACGAAAGUCUUUAACACAGAUCAAAUCGAAGUUAGAUCAUACUAAUGACAUCAGUUGUAUUUAUGCCAUUUACCUUAUGUUAAUUCUAGACACCUAUAUAUUGUUUAAAGGUUGAUAUCCAGACUUCCUUCCCAUUGUGUGAUUCCUAUUCCUUGUGAAAUUUUUGAGAGGGAACAAGCUACGCAGUACUUUAACUCAUACCUUGUCUAGUGCACUAGUUCGAUAGCAACAAGCUCCUGAGGUAAAAUAACACUUUCUUGUUUCUAUUGUUAUUUCUUCAUGAGUUUCUUUCCAAGGGGCACACAAUCAUGUUCUCAAAACAGAAGUUUAAAAAACCUAUAUUUCAUUACCAUAAACGUAUGACAUGCUACAAAAGUCAACAAUAAAAUUAAAGACAGGAGAAAUGAGCGGAGUAGAAAAAGAAAAAGGAGUAAUGUCGGAAAUUGACAAAAUUUAUUAUAUAGAAAAAUAAGUAAAGAAGUACUUAAACUAGUUGCGUGGACCACCAUUAGAUGCACCUUCGGUCUUCCCCCGACGGAAAGCUGGAAAAAACAUAACAAGAACAACAUGUUAGAUUUAUUUUGGUCAAUUAAUUUUUACAUUGAUGAAAUGCAUUUACUAAGAUUGAAUUCACAUAUGAAGUUUUCUACUAGAUCAAAACUUUGGAAAAUGAUACUGUCCUUUGAAAGGAAACAAGACAUUAUUUUUUCAGUCCUUCAAAACCUGCAAAGAUUUUAAAUUAUCGUGGCAGUUCUUGGUGUACUUCCAAAAGCCUUUGGUGUAAUGAGAAAAAUUGAUUAAUAGAGAAAACCCUUGUGUCAGUUGAUAGAGCUACUGUUGUUACAUUGUAAUCAAGAGUUCUAUGACCGUGUGGCUAUGAAAAUAUAUUCACAACACAUUAUACAUAGCACAAAAAGAUAGCCCAAAAAACGCUAAUGAACUUAAACAAUUUCAACAGUAGCGGUGACAUGGAUGUCUUCAUGUUUUACUUUUUGGCAAUCCAUAAUGAACUUAUUGAUAACUAAAAGAAGGUAACAAUAAAAUCAAUUUGAUUAAAAUAAGACCAAAAAAGACAGCAACUUACAUGGGACCCAUUUUUCUGAAGAUAUUUUAACAUCCUUAUUUUCCUUGCCGGGAGGAGGCGGUUCCGGUCUAUUUUCUCUGGGUUCUGGUCUGGCAGGUUCAGGUGGGCCUGUUUUCCGCUGCGGUGGACGGUACACCUGUUUCGGAGGUGGAUCUUGCCUGGGUCCUGAAAAGUAAAACAUUCUUGUUUAGAUUUAUAGUCAUAGAACUGAAAACAAAAAAAUCUCUCCUGAAACAAUCCAUUCUUGGCCUUCACUUACAAUUAGAUUAUUCAAUUUGAGAAUAACUGAUGGCUUGAUCGCUUGAAUAAAAAUCAAGUAGUUCAAGUUCCUGCACUAAGAGUAGUCGUAUUUUGUUUGAAACAACAAAUUGUUUCUGUUUUUUUUCUUGUUUUUUUUGCGUGAUUCUGAACAACCAAUGAGAAAGCAAAUUCAAAUUUAAGGUUAGAAAACAACGUUGUCUUGUACAACGACAUAAAAACGACUUGCUUCUGAGCACAUUGCAGUUUUUGUACAACAAUGUGGGGGUUCCCAAAUUUUGCACGCGAAAAUAAGCCCCGCCUCCACAGCACAAAACAACUUCGAACAAAAUGCGAUUGUUACUUGAUUUCCCAACAUGUUGCGAGUGUUGCCUCCGAACCAAUCAUUAUUAAACAUAUUCUAGCAGGAGGUAAAAAAAGUUCGUCCUGAAAAUCAAGAUCCUAUAUGCUUCCUGGAAGUGAAAAUUGGAGCGCUGAAUUUUUGCUGAUGAAACAAAGUCAAACUAGAAAAAUUUUUCUUGGUCAACACAUACAAAAAAAAACUUCAUUCCAUGAACUCAAAUAUAUCUGAAAGAUAUUCCGCCUCCAUCAGAGGACUUCCCAACUUCCCACAGCUUUGGCAGAAG
rnacentral:lncRNA from 1 species